rfam:Angiostrongylus cantonensis strain Taiwan genome assembly, scaffold: ACAC_contig0000023
UUCAGAUAUGGUGAUCUCGUACCGUUGAGCACUCAAGGCAAGAUUGUUGGAUCUAUGUGUGCCCUUAUUGGAGUGCUUACGUUGGCUCUACCAGUACCGAUUAUUGUGAGUUUA